GACGAACGCUGGCGGCGUGCUUAACACAUGCAAGUCGAACGGAAAGGCCCUGCUCUUGUGGGGUGCUCGAGUGGCGAACGGGUGAGUAACACGUGAGUAACCUGCCCUUGACUUUGGGAUAACUUCAGGAAACUGGGGCUAAUACCGGAUAGGAGCUCCUGCUGCAUGGUGGGGGUUGGAAAGUUACGGCGGUUGGGGCUGGACUCGCGGCUUAUCCGCUUGUUUGUCGGGUAGUGGUGUACCAAGGCUUUGACGGGUAGCCCGCCUGAGAGGGUGAACGGCAACAUUGCGACUGAGAGACGGCCCAGCCGCCUACGGGAGGCAGCAGGGGGGAAUAUUGCACAAUGGGCGGAAGCCUGAUGUAGCAACGCUGCGUGCGGGAUGACGGCCUUCGGGUUGUAAACCGCUUUCGCCUGUGCCGAAGCGUGAGUGACGGUAAUGGGUAAAGAAGCACCGGCUAACUACGUG
rnacentral:rRNA from 1 species